AUAAGAACCACACAGCAGCCGG
rnacentral:misc_RNA from 1 species